UUGUAGAACCGAGACCGCGCUGAAGGAUAGUGUGUGUUAUAGAACACGAUCUUGUACAGAAUCUGCAAGUGAAACAGUUUUGUGGAACAACUUUUGAAGGAAGUGGUCAGCAUGGAACCAGGAAGUAGAACGGAGAGCCGUCUUUCUGGUUAUUGUCCUGCUGUAAGGUGAAUUCAUCUGUGUCUGGUGGAAAGCAAACUGAACCAGGUUUUCCUCUAGGAUUUGGCCUGCGCUUAGUCCUAUAUCCUUUAUUUUUUAUCCUAAACAACUCCUUAGUCCUUGCCGAUGACAAGCAUAACAUGAUGCAGCCACAACCUUGAAAAUAUGAAAAUACUCAGUGAUGUGUUGGAUUUACCCCAAGCAUAACUCUUUGUAUUCUUGACAUAAAGUUGAAUUAUUUUUAUUUUAUUUUUAUUUUAUUAUUUUAUUUAUUAAUUUUAUAUUUUGCAGUUUUAAUAUAUUGCAAACAGGAUCCAUGUUUUGUCAUAUUUGUUAUUCUGUUCAGCCUUUCUUCUUUUCCCUCUGUCCUUUAGGUUAGUAUUGUGGAGUAACUACAAUGUUAUUGAUCCAUCCUCAGUGUUCUCCUAUCACAGCCAUUCAACUCUGUCAUUUAGGUUGGUGUUGUGGAGUAACUACAAUGUUAUUGAUCCAUCCUCAGUGUUCUCCUAUCACAGCCAUUCAACUCUAACAGUUUUAAAGUCCCCAUUGGCCUCAUGGUGAAAUCCCGAGUGGUUUCCCUCCUCUCCAGCAACUUGGUUAGGAAGGACGCCUGUAUCUUUGUUGUAACUGUGUGUGUCACAGCCACUACACUUAUUGAAUACAUAUUGACUCAAGACAUAUCAGCUUUUAAUUUGUAAUUCAUUUGUAAAAAAUAAAAUAAAUAAAAAAUGUCUAAAACCAAAUCUCAAUUUUCAAUUUUAAUUUUAAUUUUCAAUUUUAAAGAUCUCAAAAUCUAAAUUUUAAUCCAUUUCAAGUUCAGGCUGUAACACAACAACACAACAACACAACAACACGACAACACGUGGGAAAGGUCAAAGGGUAUGAAUAUUUUCUGAAGACACUGAAUAUAGAUCAAUAAAAACAAA